rnacentral:rRNA from 1 species
GUUGGCCAUACCUGCCUGUCAAUGCCGGAUCUCAUCUGAUCUCGGAAGUUAAGCAAGUCUGGGCCCGGUUAGUAUUUGGACAUUGGACCACUGGGAAUACCGGCCGCAGCA